rnacentral:rRNA from 1 species
GGCGUCCGAGUUGUAAUUUGUAGAGGAUGCUAUUGGGUUGCCACCGGUCUAAGUUCCUUGGAACAGGACGUCACAGAGGGUGAGAAUCCCGUAUGUGACCGGCCAGGCGCCUUCUGUAUAGCUCCUUCGACGAGUCGGGUUGUUUGGGAAUGCAGCCCUAAAUGGGAGGUAAAUUUCUUCUAAAGCUAAAUACCGGCCAGAGACCGAUAGCGCACAAGUAGAGUGAUCGAAAGAUGAAAAGCACUUUGGAAAGAGAGUUAAAAAGCACGUGAAAUUGUUGAAAGGGAAGCGCUUGCAAUCAGUCUCGACGGCGGCUGUUCGGCCUCUCUUCUGAGUGGUUUAUUCAGUCGCCGCCGGGCCAGCAUCAGUUUUGGCGGUCGGAUAAAGGCGCAGGGAAUGUAGCUCCCCCGGGAGUGUUAUAGCCCCGCGUGCAACACGGCCCGCCGGGACUGAGGUCCGCGCUUCGGCUAGGAUGCUGGCGAAAUGGUUGUAAGCGGCCCGUCUUGAAACACGGACCAAGGAGUCUAACAUCUACGCGAGUGUUUGGGUGUCAAACCCGUGCGCGCAAUGAAAGUGAACGGAGGUGGGAACCGCAAGGUGCACCAUCGACCGAUCCUGAUGUCUUCGGAUGGAUUUGAGUAAGAGCGUAGCUGUUGGGACCCGAAAGAUGGUGAACUAUGCCUGAAUAGGGUGAAGCCAGAGGAAACUCUGGUGGAGGCUCGCAGCGGUUCUGACG